rnacentral:lncRNA from 1 species
GCGACAACAAGCCUGCUCCUGCUGGGCUACCCCACAGGGGUGGGACCAUGGCUGGUCCCACCCUGGCUGUGCGCUAUGGUCUGCCAUGGUCCCCAAUCUCUGGGACCGAGGUGCCUGGAUCCUGGCCCAACUGGCAUCUCACCAGCAGUGGUGUCGCCCACCACAUUAUCCCAUCUGUUCCCUUUCCCCCGCCCACUGUGCAGGUAAGAGGACCCUAGGUUCCUGGCCGGGAGGAGACUGGGAGCCCAGACUCCUGUGUCUGAAGGAGAGGCCUGGGGGUCCAGACACCUGCUGAGAGAAAAGCGGAUAGGGCGCUCGGGCUCCUCUCUGACUGAAGGAGGAGGGAGGGUCCCAGAGUCCUGGGUCUGAGAGAGGAGGGGCCAGCGAACGUGGACGCCUGGGAGGAAAGGGUUGAGGACUGCCGGGGAGAGAUCAGGGCUCGCGGGCCAGACUUGAAUCCUUUUAGCCGACGUCCUUGUCCCCAGUCCACGGUCGCGGAGCCCCUGCCCCCGGCCGCAAAGCAGGAUUUACACAUCUGGGAUUUUGACGAGGUCAUCAGCAGAUGGGAGACCACCUAUGGCUCGGCUUCCGUGCCCAAGACCCUCGGCGGGCCCUACGCACAGCCCAGGGCCCCAGAGCCUUCAGACCCCACGCGGACUGUGGGGAUCAAGGAUUUAGGAGAAAAGGUGAGGUGCUGGGAUGCAGAGGUCCGCGGGGGGGGGGAGGAGGUCAGGGGUGGGGAACGCGCUGGAGCACGAGGCACCCUCACGUUGGGUCCCCGCGUCGCCUUCCCGCAGCUCAGACGCCGCGGCUGGCGCCUCCCGCUGGUCACAGAGCACCAGUGCAGUGAGACGAGGGCUCAGUACAGCGGCCGGCCGGGCCCGGACCGGAGCCCCACCUUCUACGUCGGGCCCCAGCCCCUGGAGCUUGCGGGCCACCACCGCGGAGGCCCUUCCCAGGUAGCGGAGAAGACCCGCUGCCACCUUGGGGCAGAGCCUGUAGCGCCUGAGGAGGGGCCGGAGGGGCUUUGAGGCUUGGGACCGGACUAGGAGAGCCUGGGGCGGGGAAUUCUGAGUCUGGGGUCGGGGUUAAAUGAUGUGGAAUGGAAUCAGGUUACAGAGCCCGGGGGUGGAGCUUGGACGUCUUGAGGUGGGGCCAGAAGGAGGAGGGGACCGGGACCGAAAUCGCAGCUCUGAAGCCGGGGCCGCGACCAGUAAAUCCCGGGGCGGGGCAGGGAGGGGGGUUCUGAGGCGGGGGUCGGAGCGAGGUAGCGGAAGGUGCGUGGGGCGGGCCUUGAAUAUUCUGAGACCAGAUCGGGUCGGGAGGCGGCGCUAGGCUUCCUUAGAGAGAGGAUGAAGCGAAGAGGUACGUCUGUCCUACCUGCGACUGAAUUCCAGGGGCGGGACGUGGAAGCUGAGUCUGGGGGCGGAGCUGGGAAAGUUUUGGGGGGCGGUGGGGGGGGGGAGCUGGGCCUUGUGUUCGACGACCCGCAAGUGUUUGGAUUUUGGAGUAACCCUCAUAAGGGCUCUGAUUUGGGGGAGCGAAGAUAAAGCGUUCUGGCUUGCGACUGGUCAGGAAGGAUUCGGAUUCAUCCAAGGAAGAGGCAUCCUGAGCCUGGGCCCCCGGGCUUGGGAUGGGUAUGAAACCUUGCUUCAUCCCUCCUCCCCCGAUCCUCCGCAGCCUUUAAUCCCUUGGACGAAGAACCCCGAGCUGUCCGGCCAGCCUUUCACGGUAUCUGACCAGGGCGUCCUGGACCGCCAUCAGCUCUAUCUGACCACCUCGGCCAAGGACUUCCGGGCCUAUCCGAAG